rnacentral:rRNA from 1 species
GACGAACGCUGGCGGCGUGCUUAACACAUGCAAGUCGAACGAAGAGCGAUGGAAGCUUGCUUCUAUCAAUCUUAGUGGCGAACGGGUGAGUAACGCGUAAUCAACCUGCCCUUCAGAGGGGGACAACAGUUGGAAACGACUGCUAAUACCGCAUACGAUCUAAUCUCGGCAUCGAGGAUAGAUGAAAGGUGGCCUCUACAUGUAAGCUAUCACUGAAGGAGGGGAUUGCGUCUGAUUAGCUAGUUGGAGGGGUAACGGCCCACCAAGGCGAUGAUCAGUAGCCGGUCUGAGAGGAUGAACGGCCACAUUGGGACUGAGACACGGCCCAGACUCCUACGGGAGGCAGCAGUGGGGAAUCUUCCGCAAUGGACGAAAGUCUGACGGAGCAACGCCGCGUGAGUGAUGACGGCCUUCGGGUUGUAAAGCUCUGUUAAUCGGGACGAAAGGCCUUCUUGCAAAUAGUGAGAAGGAUUGACGGUACCGGAAUAGAGCCAC